rnacentral:rRNA from 1 species
GAUGAACGCUGGCGGCGUGCCUAAUACAUGCAAGUCGAGCGAACGGACGAGAAGCUUGCUUCUCUGAUGUUAGCGGCGGACGGGUGAGUAACACGUGGAUAACCUACCUAUAAGACUGGGAUAACUUCGGGAAACCGGAGCUAAUACCGGAUAAUAUUUUGAACCGCAUGGUUCAAAAGUGAAAGACGGUCUUGCUGUCACUUAUAGAUGGAUCCGCGCUGCAUUAGCUAGUUGGUAAGGUAACGGCUUACCAAGGCAACGAUGCAUAGCCGACCUGAGAGGGUGAUCGGCCACACUGGAACUGAGACACGGUCCAGACUCCUACGGGAGGCAGCAGUAGGGAAUCUUCCGCAAUGGGCGAAAGCCUGACGGAGCAACGCCGCGUGAGUGAUGAAGGUCUUCGGAUCGUAAAACUCUGUUAUUAGGGAAGAACAUAUGUGUAAGUAACUGUGCACAUCUUGACGGUACCUAAUCAGAAAGCCACGGCUAACUACGUGCCAGCAGCCGCGGUAAUACGUAGGUGGCAAGCGUUAUCCGGAAUUAUUGGGCGUAAAGCGCGCGUAGGCGGUUUUUUAAGUCUGAUGUGAAAGCCCACGGCUCAACCGUGGAGGGUCAUUGGAAACUGGAAAACUUGAGUGCAGAAGAGGAAAGUGGAAUUCCAUGUGUAGCGGUGAAAUGCGCAGAGAUAUGGAGGAACACCAGUGGCGAAGGCGACUUUCUGGUCUGUAACUGACGCUGAUGUGCGAAAGCGUGGGGAUCAAACAGGAUUAGAUACCCUGGUAGUCCACGCCGUAAACGAUGAGUGCUAAGUGUUAGGGGGUUUCCGCCCCUUAGUGCUGCAGCUAACGCAUUAAGCACUCCGCCUGGGGAGUACGACCGCAAGGUUGAAACUCAAAGGAAUUGACGGGGACCCGCACGAGCGGUGGAGCAUGUGGUUUAAUUCGAAGCAACGCGAAGAACCUUACCAAAUCUUGACAUCCUUUGACAACUCUAGAGAUAGAGCCUUCCCCUUCGGGGGACAAAGUGACAGGUGGUGCAUGGUUGUCGUCAGCUCGUGUCGUGAGAUGUUGGGUUAAGUCCCGCGACGAGCGCAACCCUUAAGCUUAGUUGCCAUCAUUAAGUUGGGCACUCUAAGUUGACUGCCGGUGACAAACCGGAGGAAGGUGGGGAUGACGUCAAAUCAUCAUGCCCCUUAUGAUUUGGGCUACACACGUGCUACAAUGGACAAUACAAAGGGCAGCGAAACCGCGAGGUCAAGCAAAUCCCAUAAAGUUGUUCUCAGUUCGGAUUGUAGUCUGCAACUCGACUACAUGAAGCUGGAAUCGCUAGUAAUCGUAGAUCAGCAUGCUACGGUGAAUACGUUCCCGGGUCU